AGGUAUAAUCCAAAAGUAAUCGUCCACCACAACAGUAAAAGAAGUAUACUGCUACAGCAGACGAUAGGUUUGAGCCAAUCAUUUUACUGAUAGAGGUCACGUGACUAAAAUCUUGACAACUUCCGGUGGUGUGAAGGGUUACUUUCCCUAAUUAAAACUAACAAACCAAUACAUAUUUGAGAUUUAAGUUCUGAUUUAUUUAAGCGCAAAUGUCUGUUCAGUGUGAUAACACUGACAAACUAUGUCCAGACAGCUUAAGACAGAAAGAACCAAAUGUCAAACACCACAACCUGUAAACCAUCAGUUUAGACCCCUGACACACAAAUUAGUCCCUCAAUGACAUAUCAGUCAACUCAAAUUUAAACAAACGGUGUUAAACUGCCCUAAAGUAACAUAUCUGUCACUAGAAUGUGAUGCUAUCAGUAAGAUGCCAGAUUUAUUUAUGUUUCUGGCCGCUCUGUGUGGGACUUCUUGGUCACUUCGAGGGGGAAACUGGGGACUGUCUUUUAUCCAAUUAAAAACAUGUUUACAUUUGUAGCUCCUCCUGUUUUAAGUUGGAUAUAGUAAGCUUAGUGAUCAGUGAUUGCAGGAAACAUAGGAAUUGGCCCCUCCUCCCUUUAAGAUAGAUGGAACCCAUAUUUUUGUGAAUGACUUCUACCCUGUGAGAGAAUAUUUUGAGGUCACGUGACUUCAAUAAACAUGUUCUCACAGCCUCUACAGUGCAUGGAUGGGUUAUAUUUAGGUAUUAUUUUGGUAAAUUGACAUAUGUGGAAAUGGGAAAUAUAUGAAAACAUUACAUGUACAUAUAGGAUUUGUAAUAAAAGGUUUAUAUGAGGUAGGUGUAGAGCCCAGGAUUUUUCACUUCCUGUGACAGGGGCUGUGACGUCACUAUGGGGCCUUUAGCAUUGAAUCUAUUUAUAACCUGUGUGAAAGCGAGGCUUGGUUUUCAUCUAUAAGCGGUAACAUAGCCUGAGCUCGCACACUGCUAACGAGAACUAAG